ensembl:lncRNA
AAAAAGCAACAGUUAGAAUAGGACAUGCAACCAUAGACUGGUUUCAAAUCGGGAAAGGAGUAUGUCAAGGCUGUAUAUUGUCAUCCUGCUUAUUUAACUUAUAUGCAGAGUACAUCACACAAAAUGCCAGGCUGGAUGAAGCACAAGUUGGAAUCAAGAUUGCCAGGGAAUGUCAAUAACCUCAGAUAUGAAGAUGACACCACACUUAUGGCAGAAAGCAGUGAAGAACUGAACAGCCUUUUGAUGAAGUGAAGAGGAGAGUGAAGAAGUUGGCUUAAAACUCGCAUUCAGAAAACUAAGAUCAUUUCAUCCGGUCCCAUCACUUCAUGGCUAAUAGAUGGGGAAAUAAUGGAAACAGUGACAGACUUUCUUUACUUGGGUUCCAAGAUCACUGCAGUUGGUGACUACAGCCAUGAAAUUAAAAGACGCUCCUUGGAAGAAAAGCUAUGACCAACCUAGACAGCAUAUUAAAAAGCAGAGACAUUACUUUGCCAACAAAGGUCCACCUAGUCAAAGCUGUGGUUUUUGCAGUAGUCAUGUAAGGAUAUGAGGUGAAGGUGAAGUCACUCAGUCAUGUCCGACUCUUUGCGACCCCGUGGACUGUAGCCUACCAGGCUCCUCCGUCCAUGGGAUUCUCCAGGCAAGGAUAUGAGAGUUGGACUAUAAAGAAACCUGAAUGCUGAAGAACUGAUCCUUUUGAACUGUGGUAUUGGAGAAGACUCUUGAGAGUCCCUUGGACUUCAAGGAGAUCCAACCAGUUCAUCCUAAAGGAAAUCAGUCCUGAAUAUUCAUUGGAAGGACUGAUGCUGAAACUGAAGCUCCAAUACUUUGGCCACCUUAUGCAAAGAACUGACUCAUUGGAAAAGACCCUGAUGCUGGGAAAGAUUGAAGGCAGGAGGAGAAGAUGACAGAGGAUGAGAUGGUUGGAUGACAUCACUGACUCGAUGGUCAUGAGUUUGAGAGACUGGAAUGCAAAAGUAGGAAGUCAAGAAACACCUGGAGUAACAGGCAAAUUUGGCCUUGGAAUGCAGAAUGAAGCAGGGCAAAGACUAAUAGAGUUUUGCCAGAAAAUGCACUGGUCAUAGCAAACACCCUCUUCCUAAAACACAAGAGAAGACUCUGCACAUGGACAUCACCAGAUGGUCAACACUGAAAUCAAGUUGAUUAUAUUCUCUGCAGCCAAAGAUGGAGAAGCUCUAUACUGUCAACAAAACAAGGCCAGGAGCUGACUGUGGCUCAGAUUAUGAACUCCUUAUUACCAAAUUCAGACUUAAAUUGAAGAAAGUAGGGAAAACCGCUAGACCAUUCAGGUAUGAUCUAAAUCAAAUCCCUUAUGAUUAUACAGUGGAAGUAAGAAAUAGAUUUAAGGGCCUAGAUCUGAUAGAUAGAGUAUCUGAGGAACUAUGGACAGAGGUUUGUGACAUUGUACAGCAGACAGGGAUUAAGACCAUCUCCACGGAAAAGAAAUGCACAAAAGCAAAAUGGCUGUCUGGGGAAUCCUUACAAAUAGCUGUGAAAAGUAGAGAAGUGAAAAGCCAUGGAGAAAAGGGAAGAUAUAAGCAUCUGAAUGCAGAGUUCCGAAGAAUAGCAAGAAGAGACAAGAAAGC